rnacentral:rRNA from 1 species
UGGGGAAUUGUUCACAAUGGGCGCAAGCCUGAUGACGCAACGCCGCGUGGGGGAUGAAGGUCUUCGGAUUGUAAACCCCUGUCGAAUGGGACGAAAGACUCGCGAGUUAAUACUUCGCGGGAGUGACGGUACCGUUAAAGGAAGCCACGGCUAACUCUGUGCCAGCAGCCGCGGUAAUACAGAGGUGGCAAGCGUUGUUCGGAAUUACUGGGCGUAAAGGGCGCGUAGGCGGCCUACUAAGUCAGACGUGAAAUCCCCCGGCUUAACCUGGGAACUGCGUCUGAUACUGGAAGGCUUGAGUAUGGGAGAGGGAUGUAGAAUUCCAGGUGUAGCGGUGAAAUGCGUAGAUAUCUGGAGGAAUACCGGUGGCGAAGGCGGCAUCCUGGACCAUUACUGACGCCGAGGCGCGAAAGCUAGGGGAGCAAACGGGAUUAGAUACCCAAGUAGUCCCUGAGCGGGCUGGCAAGGCGCAU